UUGCAACUUCAACCCUUUACUUUCCAAUUCAAGCUUCAACAAUCAAGCACCCCACAACCACAAGGUAACACCAGCAAUCUUUUCUUUUCAUGCAACAUUUCUCUCUCUCUUUCUUGUUUUUAGUAAACCGUACUUAGUCUGAUCCCUCCCUCUGGCUUGGUUAGAACUUUGCAAAUUGUGGGCUCCAUCUAUUUUUCAGUAAAAUUUCCACUUAAUCUCAUUUUCCUUUUUGGUUUCAUCUAAGAAACAUUUUUCCCAAGAUCUGCAUGAUUGCAUGACCCAUUUGUACUCUUAUGCAGACAAUGAUGAAACUUUCCAAGUUGGGUUUUGAAAUGAAGUGAUGAAUUUGAUAAAUUUGUGUAGAUUGGACUAGAGUAAAGACAAGCAAAAGGUUAGUAUGGGUUUUGUUUGAGGGGAAAAGGGAGGAAUUUGAGACAUAAUAGAGAGGAAAUUUUGGGCUAGUGAAGGUUGAUCGGUUGAUUCGGUUCUAUAAUGGAACAAGGGUUUAGCCAAAACUCAGUUCCUCCUCCAGGUUCCAUUGACAAGUCCAGGAUUUUGGACAUUAAACCUAUGCGGUGUUUGAUACCUGUUUUCCCAAUGUCGUCACAAGCUGCACCCUCUGGGGAGUACCCUUCUGGGUUUUCUCCAUUUUUCCCAUUUGGUGCACCUCAUCAAACUCCCACUGGGGUGGCAGCAGGGGGUGGUGCCAUACCUGCUCCCAUAAGGGCAUUUAGGAGCCCACUAGGGGCAGGAGACACUAGUGCAACAGUGGAGGGUGAUACUUCUGGGAAGAAAAAACGAGGACGCCCUCGCCUCAACAAAUCACCUGAAAAGAAUGAUAAGAUAAGUCAAGAGUCACAUGUUGAUGUAAGUGCUUUAGUUGGUAUUAGUCCAGCUCAGAGAGACGAUGGUAGCCGUGAAGUGGUUAAUCUUGUGCUCAUGACGUUUGAUGCGCUUCGAAGAAGGCUCUGUCAACUGGAAGAAGCCAAGGAAUUGAGCUCAGGUUCAAUCAAGCGUGCGGAUUUGAAAGUUUCAAAUACUUUGAUGAGCAAAGGAAUUCGAACAAACAUGAGGAAGAGAAUAGGACCAGUUCCUGGGGUUGAGAUUGGGGACAUUUUCUUUUUCCGAAUUGAAUUAUGUCUUGCAGGUUUGCAUGCUCCCUCCAUGGGUGGAAUUGAUGCAUUGCAUAUCAGGGGUGAGUUUGAGGAGGAAACUCUUGCUGUAAGCAUUGUUUCAUCAGGAGAAUAUGACGAUGAUGCUGAGGAUAGUGAUGUUAUAAUUUAUACCGGUCAGGGUGGGAACUUCUUCAAGAAAGGUAAGCAUGCAAUCGAUCAAAAGCUUCACAGGGGUAAUCUUGCUUUGGAUAGGAGUUCGCGGCAACACAAUGAAGUAAGAGUCAUCCGGGGCAUGAAAGACGGUGUGAAUCAAAAUGCAAAGAUCUAUGUCUAUGAUGGCCUGUAUAAAAUCCAAGAUUCAUGGAUAGAAAAAGCAAAAAGUGGCGGCGGCAUAUUUAAGUAUAAGUUAGUAAGAAUGGCUGGACAGCCUAGUGCCUUUGCUGUUUUGAAAUCGGUUCAGAAGUGGAAAUCUGGCUCCCCAAGGACUGGACUUACUCUUGCAGACCUUUCUUCGGGAGCUGAGAGUAUUCCUGUACCACUUGUCAACGAGGUUGAUAAUGUGAAGGCACCUGCUUAUUUCACCUAUUUCCAUUCUAUUAAACAUCCAAAAUCAUUCAGUUUAAUGCAGCCUUCGCAUGGAUGCUGCUGUACUAAAGCAUGUAUCCCUGGUGAUUUGAACUGCUCUUGCAUUAGGAGAAAUGAAGGUGACUUUCCAUAUACUGGCAGUAACAUUCUGGUUAGUCGGAAGCCAUUGGUUCAUGAAUGUGGCCCCACAUGCCAGUGUUUUCCUAACUGCAAAAAUCGAGUAUCCCAAACUGGUUUAAAGCACCACAUGGAAGUGUUUAAAACAAAGGAUAGAGGGUGGGGUCUUAGAUCCCUGGAUCCUAUUCGUGCUGGUACUUUUAUCUGUGAAUAUGCUGGAGAAGUUAUUGACAGGGCCAAGGUAAGUCAGCUUGUGAGGGAAGGAGAUGAGUAUGUUUUUGAUACAACUCGUAUUUAUGAUAAAUUCAAGUGGAAUUAUGAGCCUAGGUUAUUGGAAGAAGUGGGUACCAAUGACUCAAGUGAGGAUUAUGCUAUACCAUAUCCUUUAAUUAUAAGUGCCAAGAAUGUUGGAAAUGUGGCUAGAUUCAUGAAUCAUAGUUGCUCCCCAAAUGUUUUCUGGCAGCCUGUCAUAUAUGAAGAAAACAACCAAUCUUACCUGCAUGUUGCAUUUUUUGCCCUCAGACACAUUCCACCAAUGAAAGAGUUAACAUAUGAUUAUGGAUUUGCUGGAUCUGAUCGCGCUGAGGGUAGCAGUGCAUCCAAAGGGAGAAAGAAAUGCUUAUGUGGAUCAUCAAAAUGCCGCGGCUCUUUUGGUUAACAUUUGGUUAAGGUUGCUCAAGACCAGGAAGGUAAUGGCAAUGUAUUCAUGGUUAAAAAGAUGGAUGAUUUAUUUCAAGAGCCAGAUCCAGUUUAGAAAUUCCAGUUAGUGAUUGUAUGCAUCCAAAUCAAGUGUAGGUGUGUUUUUGACUAUAAAUAAAUCAUGUUAGUCUCUGGACCUGGCCCUUUUUUGCCUCCAACUUUAUUAUAAAUAAUCAGUGAAGUCGUGUAAUUUGUGAAAAAAUUGCAUUGGGAAUGGCC